rnacentral:rRNA from 1 species
GACGUAGGGCGCGAGCGUUGUCCGGAUUUAUUGGGCGUAAAGAGCUCGUAGGCGGUCUGUCGCGUCUGCUGUGAAAACUCAGGGCUUAACCCUGAGCUUGCAGUGGGUACGGGCAGACUAGAGUGCGGUAGGGGAGACUGGAAUUCCUGGUGUAGCGGUGAAAUGCGCAGAUAUCAGGAGGAACACCGGUGGCGAAGGCGGGUCUCUGGGCAUUAACUGACGCUGAGGAGCGAAAGCAUGGGGAGCGAACAGG